GUACUUCGGGUGCAGCACAUAUACUAAAAUUGGAACGAUACAGAGAAGAUCAGUAUGGCCCCUGUGCAAGGAUGACAUGCAAAUUCAUGAAGUGUUCCACAUUUUU
ensembl:snRNA U6 U6 spliceosomal RNA